rnacentral:rRNA from 1 species
UACAGAGGUCUCAAGCGUUGUUCGGAUUCAUUGGGCGUAAAGGGUGCGUAGGCGGCGCGGUAAGUCGGGGGUGAAAUCUCGGAGCUUAACUCCGAAACUGCAUUCGAUACUGCCGUGCUUGAGGACUGGAGAGGAGACUGGAAUUUACGGUGUAGCGGUGAAAUGCGUAGAUAUCGUAAGGAAGACCAGUGGCGAAGGCGACUACCUGGCCUGUUCUUGACGCUGAGGCGCGAAAGCUGGGGGAGCAAACGGG